ACAGGCACACGCCACCAUGCUCAGCUAAUUUUAUAUUCUUUAUGUCCAUGUGCGUGACACAUAGCAAGUGCUCAAUAAAUAUUGUUAAAUGUAUAUUAGUCAGCAAGUAAAACCAAGAUAAUUUUCAUAUAUAACACAUGUCCUUUCCAUAAAAGUUAAGUGUCAAAUUCAGUAUUUUUGUAAAAUAACAUUCUUUGUUUGUUUUCUUUAGCUCUUUGGCUCGAUUGUUAUUUCCACCAAAAGAUGAUCACACGUUGAAGUUUUUAUAUGAUGACAACCAGCGUGUUGAGCCUGAAUGGUACAUUCCUAUUAUUCCCAUGGUGCUGAUAAAUGGUGCUGAAGGAAUCGGUACUGGGUGGUCCUGCAAAAUCCCCAACUUUGAUGUGCGUGAAAUUGUAAAUAACAUCAGGCGUUUGAUGGAUGGAGAAGAACCUUUGCCAAUGGUAAGUAUUCUGUGUGUGUUAAGAGCCUUAACUUUUCCUUGGGUUUCAGUUGAAUAGAUUGUAUGAUUAAAGAUGAUGCAAACAUAAAAUUUAAUUUCAUACUUUAGAUUUAUUGUUAAACACUGUUGUGAUUUCCGUCUAGUAUCACAUUUAGAAAACAUACUGUUUUUUUAAAUGCCAAUUUAGCUUCCAAGUUACAAGAACUUCAAGGGUACUAUUGAAGAACUGGCUCCAAAUCAAUAUGUGAUUAGUGGUGAAGUAGCUAUUCUUAAUUCUACAACCAUUGAAAUCUCAGAGCUUCCCGUCAGAACAUGGACCCAGGUAAAUAAUUGUGGAUUUCUUUUUUAGGUUUGUGAUCAAAAGAAACACCUUUUGUACUAUUGCUGUUGACUAUUCAGAAGCCUAUAUUUUAGAAACUUUAGGAUUAUUUCUUUCUUUAGACAUACAAAGAACAAGUUC
rnacentral:lncRNA from 1 species